rnacentral:rRNA from 1 species
UACGGGGGGUGCAAGCGUUGAUCGGAUUGACUGGGCGUAAAGGGAGCGUAGGCGGUUGGAAAAGUAGGAUGUGAAAUCUUGGGGCUUAACCUCAAAACUGCAUCCUAAACUUUCUAACUAGAGGGUGGUAGGGGAAAACAGAAUUCUGCAUGUAGCGGUGAAAUGCGUAGAUAUGCAGAGGAAUACCGGUGGCGAAGGCGGUUUUCUGUACCAUUCCUGACGCUGAGGCUCGAAAGUAUGGGGAGCAAACAGG